rnacentral:rRNA from 1 species
GCAUAUCAAUAAGCGGAGGAAAAGAAACCAACAGGGAUUACCUUAGUAACGGCGAGUGAAGCGGUAACAGCUCAAAUUUGAAAUCUGGGUCUUUUAGGCUCCCGAGUUGUAAUUUGUAGAAGAUGCUUUGGGUGCGGCCCCGGUCUAAGUUCCUUGGAACAGGACGUCAUAGAGGGUGAGAAUCCCGUAUGUGAUCGGUGGCUUGCGCCCGUGUAAAGCUCUUUCGACGAGUCGGGUUGUUUGGGAAUGCAGCUCUAAAUGGGUGGUAAAUUUCAUCUAAAGCUAAAUAUUGGCCAGAGACCGAUAGCGCACAAGUAGAGUGAUCGAAAGAUGAAAAGCACUUUGGAAAGAGAGUUAAACAGUACGUGAAAUUGUUGAAAGGGAAGCGCUUGCAACCAGACUUGCGCGGGGUUGAUCAUCCGGGGUUCUCCCCGGUGCACUCGGCCUCGCUCAGGCCAGCAUCGGUUUUGGUGGUUGGAUAAAGGCCUUGGGAAUGUGACUUCUUUCGGGGAGUGUUAUAGCCCUCGGUGCAAUGCAGCCUACCGGGACCGAGGACCGCGCUUCGGCUAGGAUGCUGGCGUAAUGGUUGUAAGCGACCCGUCUUGAAACACGGACCAAGGAGUCUAACAUCUAUGCGAGUGUUUGGGUGUCAAACCCAUACGCGUAAUGAAAGUGAACGGAGGUGAGAACCCUUAAGGGUGCAUCAUCGACCGAUCCUGAUGUCUUCGGAUGGAUUUGAGUAAGAGCAUAGCUGUUGGGACCCGAAAGAUGGUGAACUAUGCCUGAAUAGGGUGAAGCCAGAGGAAACUCUGGUGGAGGCUCGCAGCGGUUCUGACGUGCAAAUCGAUCGUCAAAUUUGGGCAUAGGGGCGAAAGACUAAUCGAACCAUCUAGUAGCUGGUUUCCUGCCGAA